rnacentral:lncRNA from 1 species
AAAGAAUGCUCCCACAGCUCCAUUGGCAAGUCUGGAAGAUGCAUCCAGAGGGUGGCGGUCUUGACUGAGUCCGUUCCAGCACUAAACUUUGACCUCCACUGCUCGGGAGCCAAAACCUACCCAGCUAUGAUCUAGGGUCCAUUCGCCAUAACCCAUUCUUUGUCCUCUUCUCUAUUAAACUAAAACACCCAAUAUCCAGCG